AUGAACGCUGGCGGCGUGCCUAAUACAUGCAAGUCGAGCGAACGGACGAGAAUCUUGCUUCUCUGAUGUUAGCGGCGGACGGGUGAGUAACACGUUGAUAACCUACCUAUAAGACUGGGUUAACUUCGGGAAACCGUAGCUAAUACCUGAUAAUUUUUUUAACCGCAUUGUUCAAAAGUUAAAGACGGUCUUGCUGUCACUUAUAGAUGUAUCCGCGCUGCAUUAGCUAGUUGGUAAGGUAACGGCUUACCAAGGCAACGAUGGAUAGCCGACCUGAGAGGGGGAUCGGCCACACUGGAACUGAGACACGGUCCAGACUCCUACGGGAGGCAGCAGUAGGGAAUCUUCCGCAAUGGGCGAAAGCAUGACGGAGCAACGCGGCGGGAGUGAUGAAGGACUUCGGAUCGUAAAACUCUGUUAGUAGGGAAGAACAAAUGUGUAAGUAACUGUGCACAUCAUGACGGUACCUAAUCAGAAAGCCACGGCUAACUACGUG
rnacentral:rRNA from 1 species